UUGCAAAUAACAGAGAAGUCUCCUCUAUAUAUUAUAUAGAGGCAUACUUAUAUCUCUACUCGUGAGUACACUAGUGAGUACACUUGUUUAUACCUCCUCAAACUAAGAGUGAAAAAUGGAAGCACCCUUAGUUUUUUCAUGAAUUUAAGAAACAAAGAUUCAGGAAGAGGUUUUGUAAGGAUGUCUGCAACUUGAGCAUGAGAUGGUUUAACAGCCAGUAGAACAACCCCAAGAUUAUCACGAAAUAAGAGCAACUGGAUUGUCACUUUUAAUUCAGAAAGCAGCUUUCUAAUCCAAAAUAUAGGAUUCGUGCCCAAGGAGAAGCAAUAGCCACUGGUUGAUCGUCUAUCAUCCAGAUUAGUAACCCAAUUUGCAUCUGCAAAGGGAAGAAGACAAAGAUCAGAGAACUUGGUAAACUAAAUUUGAUGAUCAACUUUACCUGAUAGAUAACGCAAAAUACGUUUAACAACCUUCCAAUAAUGUAAUUUGGUAGAGUGCAUGAAUUGACUGACUCCAUUUAUUGAGUAUGUAAUUUUCGGAUUAGUCAAAGUGACAUAUUGCAGUCUACCUAUGAUCGAUCGAUGGAGAGAUGGAUCAUCAAAAAUAUCUGAACCCUACAAUGUUAGUUUCACUAAGAAAAGCAUACGAGUAGAUAUGCUAUUCGAAUGAUCCAUGGAUGCCUUCUUUAACAAGUCCUUAAUGUAUUUUGAUUGAGAAAUAUGUAAGACACCCAAGGGUAAAAAAUUAAAAUGCAUGCCUAAGAAGUAAUGUAAAGUACCUAAGUCUUUUAAUAGAAAUAAACUAUUUAAUC